rnacentral:rRNA from 1 species
UCAAUAGCCUAACGGCUGAACCAGCAACUUGGAGGAAUGUAUAGCAAUAGCUACUUGCAUCAUUGAAAAUAUGAUGCAAGAUCGACUAUGUCGAAUAAAAUUCUAGGUAGAAUUAUGAUAAUGACAUUGUCUGCCUAUGUGUCUUGACCAAAUUACGUGCCAGCAGUCGCGGUAAUACGUAGAAGACUAGUGUUAUUCAUGUUUAAUCGGUUUAAAGGGUACCUAGACGGUAAAUCAAGCCUAAAAGGAAGGUAAUAAAGGGACUAAUUUACUAGAGUUACUUAUGAGGGGGUAUUAAAGUACUGCUGGUGUAGAGAUGAAAUUCUGUCAUACCUCUUUUCAAUAGAAAAAUAAUGGCACAGGUAUAGGCGAAAGCAUCCCCUUAUGUGAUAACUGACGUUGAGGGACGAAGGCUUUGUGUAGCGAACAGGAUUAGAUACCCCAGUAGUCAAAGCAGAAAAUGAUGAAUGUCAUAGAUUAGAUAUAUAAGUUUAUUCUAUAAAUGAAAGUGUAAGCAUUCCACCUCAAGAGUAAUUUGGCAACAUUGGAACUGAAAUCAUUAGACCGUUUCUGAAACCAGUAGUGAAGUAUGUUGUUUAAUUUGAUGAUCCGCAAAAAACCUUACCACAAUUUGAAUAUUUAUAUCUUUUAUUGUUUUUCUUUUUAACUUUCUUCUGAUUUUCUACUUAAAAGAAAACAAUAACAAGAAAAAAGAGGCAAUAAGAUAUAUUUACAAGCGUUGCACGGCUGUCUUCAGUUAAUGUCGCGAGACUAUGGUUAGUUCCAUUAAAUUAACGUAAACCCUUACUUUAUUUUUAUAUAGAGUAGUUCCCCGCUAUAUUGGAUAUGAUAACAGGGACUAAGACAAGUCAUCAUGGCCUGCUGAGCGA